UUAUGCCCAGGGCUACACACGUGACUACAAUGGGCGGUACAAAGGGUAGCGAUGCCGCGAGGUAGAAGCCAAAUCCCAAAAAGCCGUCCACAGUUCGGAUUGGAGUCUGCAACUCGACUCCAUGAAGCCGGAAUCGCUAGUAAUCGUGGAUCAGCAUGCCACGGUGAAUACGUUCCCGGGCCUU
rnacentral:rRNA from 1 species